CGGUAAUACGGAGGGUGCGAGCGUUAAUCGGAAUUACUGGGCGUAAAGACGCAUGCAGGCGGCCGUCGUUAAGUCAGAUGUGAAAGCCCGGGGCUUAACCUCGGAAUUGCAUUUGAAACUGGCAGGCUAGAGUCUUGUAGAGGGGGGUAGGAAUUUCAGGUGUAGCGGUGAAAUGCGUAGAGAUCUGAAGGAAUACCAGUGGCGAAGGCGGCCCCCUGGACAAAGACUGACGCUCAGAUGCGAAAGCGUGGGGAGCAAACAGGAUUAGAUACCCUGGUAG
rnacentral:rRNA from 1 species